rnacentral:rRNA from 1 species
GACGAACGCUGGCGGCGGGCUUAACACAUGCAAGUCGAACGGAAAGGCCCUGCGUUUGUGGGGUGCUCGAGUGGCGAAAGGGUGAGUAACACGUGAGUAACCUGCCCUUGACUUUGGGAUAACUUCAGGAAACUGGGGCUAAUACCGGAUAGGAGCUCCUGCUGCAUGGUGGGGGUUGGAAAGUUUCGGCGGUUGGGGAUGGACUCGCGGCUUAUCAGCUUGUUGGUGGGGGAGUGGCUUACCAAGGCGUUGACGGGUAGCCGGCCUGAGAGGGUGACCGGCCACAUUGGGACUGAGAUACGGCCCAGACUCCUACGGGAGGCAGCAGUGGGGAAUAUUGCACAAUGGGCGGAAGCCUGAUGCAGCAACGCAGCGUGCGGGAUGACGGCCUUCGGGUUGUAAACCGCUUUCGCCUGUGACGAAGCGUGAGUGACGGUAAUGGGUAAAGAAGCACCGGCUAACUACGUG